rnacentral:rRNA from 1 species
UACGUAGGGUGCGAGCGUUGUCCGGAAUUAUUGGGCGUAAAGAGCUCGUAGGCGGUCUGUCGCGUCGGUCAUGAAAACUUGGGGCUUAACCCUGAGCUUGCGGUCGAUACGGGCAUGACUGGAGUUCGGCAGGGGAGACUGGAAUUCCUGGUGUAGCGGUGAAAUGCGCAGAUAUCAGGAGGAACACCGGUGGCGAAGGCGGGUCUCUGGGCCGAUACUGACGCUGAGGAGCGAAAGCGUGGGGAGCGAACAGG